CCACAGCCUGCGCCAUCUUCUGCAACUGGAAGCUCUCGCCAGCGUCUCCAGAAUACACAAUCAGGAGUCUGUCACACAGAGACACACAACCACACCCACAGGUGAUGCAGAGUGACCAGUUACCCACCAGUUUGGACUGUGGGGGGAAGGACGCUGUAUUUAAAUGAAAUCUGAAGAUCUGUGAUGACUCCAGCACCUCCAGUUUGCGCCUGUGGAGACGAAUCGGUGCAUUAGAGGUGGCGUCUGCUUCAUGAACUGUGCAGAGGGCCCUCUGUUGGAGUAAAACAGCACCGCAGCCUGUUUAAGGAGAGCGCGGCACACCUGCUCCUCAUCACUUGUUGCCGUCCUGCAGUAUUUAAGAGAGCGGCUGCUCUACCAGGUUAUUAUAGCAGUGGAAGCUCACUCGUGUUCCUCAGCCUGUGAGGAAACCUGCUGCACACUCUGAGUUUGUCAGUAAAAUCCUUGACUGAG